GGAAAUUUGAAGGAAAACAGCCAGAAGGGCUAAAAAGAAUGGAGAACAGCGUUGCAUAGAACCUGCAGGCAAGACGUGGCAGAACCCCAUCCUCUUCAGGCUCUAGAGCAUUUUUGAUCUCCAUGCACAGCUGUAACCUUCACCAUUGCCAGUCCAACCUCCUAAGACAUCUCUGAGAAAGUGACUUCCGUGAAAGCCUGGACAGUCAGUGUGAGCUGGCCACGGUGACUCAUGUCCAGGUAUGUUGGGAGGGAGUUUGGUGUCACAUCGCGAAGGCUGCUGACAGGGCCUCCCAUCACGACAUGCUCACAUGCUGCAGCCUGGACUGAGAAUCUUCCCCUGGUGGCCCAGGCGUGAGGGUCUGGCCUGUACCAUACCAGCGUAUGGUAGUUAUGAAAUGGUGGAACCUUGAAGAGGUGGGACCUAGUGAAGCUAACUGGGAGCAGGCACUUUUGAAUCUAUCAGCCAUCCGUGAAGGCUUCUUAGUUUUCCGGAGAAAUAGCCCUGUGUUCCAAAGAGAGACAGGCUGAACUUGAAGUCAGUUACCUGGCAUUAAGUUGUGGAACUUAACAAGUGGCUUGAACAUCUCUGAACUUUAGCUCUCUCACUUUUAUAACCCUGACAUAUUGAUGGCCACCUCUUCAGAUUGCCAAGAGACUAAAUGCAAUGCAUCUUGUCUUCUGAAACAUCCGGUAAAACGGUUAGGUUCGUGCGUAUGACAGCCUUCCGAGGAAAAGGAUGGAUUCUUAGAGAUGUCAACCGCAGCAUCAGCAUCACAGACUAAUCAGGUGUCAAGCACACUGGCUACUUACCGCGAUGCCAGUCCACUGCUGAAGUCGGACCACUGCUGAAGUCACUGACUGUGAGGGUUAACUUUUACAGACAGCCUGACUGAACUCGUCAUCUGUCACCUAGGAGAGACAUCUCUGCACGUGUCUGUGAGAAUACUCAGGAAGGGUCAGCUGGGGAGCAGAGACCCACCUGGGAUGUUGAUGGCACCAUUCCAGGUACUGUACAGACUAAAAAUGCACAGAGGGAGAAACCUAUUGAGAGCCAGCAUUGAUCUCUCUGUCACCAUCCCCCAUGAUAUAAGCAAGCAGGCAGCCUCCUGCUGCCAGGCCUUCCCUGCCAGGAUAGACCGACACUCAGACCCUUGCAAAAUAAACCUUUCCUCCCCUGAGUUGCAUCCCACCAGGUUUUUGCUCACAGCAGAGAGAACAAUAACAGAUACACCCAUACAGAUAUUUUCCGAUGAAAUUAGAACCACCACAAAAGGAAGUUUUCACUUUAUACAAUUCACGCGGCUUUCAUCCAAUGGGAUGGAUAAAAACACUGUUUUGAGCAUCUAGGUUAAUAAUAUACAUCACUGACAUAAAGAAACGGAGAACUGCUGUAAGAUAAAACAAACCUCUCCCGGGCCUUACGUUUUUGGUAUAGAAUCAGCGAUGCUGUGAAUGGCUCUUGUCCACACAUUCUUCUGUUGCCAA